rnacentral:rRNA from 1 species
UGAGGAAUAUUGGUCAAUGGACGCAAGUCUGAACCAGCCAAGUAGCGUGCAGGAUGACGGCCCUAUGGGUUGUAAACUGCUUUUAUAUGGGGAUAAAGUGGGGAACGUGUUCCCUUUUGCAGGUACCAUAUGAAUAAGGACCGGCUAAUUCCGUGCCAGCAGCCGCGGUAAUACGGAAGGUUCGGGCGUUAUCCGGAUUUAUUGGGUUUAAAGGGAGCGUAGGCCGUUUGGUAAGCGUGUUGUGAAAUGUAGGAGCUCAACUUCUAGAUUGCAGCGCGAACUGUCAGACUUGAGUGCGCACAACGUAGGCGGAAUUCAUGGUGUAGCGGUGAAAUGCGUAGAUAUAUGGAGGAACACCGGUGGCGAAAGCGGCUCUCUGGUCUGUAACUGACGCUGAGGCUCGAAAGCGUGGGGAGCGAACAGG